GGCAUUAAGCGUAUUAUUUAAUGUUUGGCCUGCCCUAUGAUGAAAUUAAAUGGCCGCAGUAUUUUGACUGUGUAAAGGUAGCAUAAUCAAUUGUCUAUUAAUUGUAGACUUGAAUGAAAGGUUGGACUUGGUUUUUCUUUUUUGGCUGCUAAGUGGUGAAUUUAUAUGUUUUGUAAAAAUACUAAGGGGAGUUUAGUAGACGAGAAGACCCUGUUGAGCUUUAUAUUUGAGUUUAUUUUAGGGUUGUAUGGAAGGUAUAAUAAAUUAUUAUAUUUUACUGGGGCGGUAAUAUUACAAUAAACGUGGUUUAGGUGGUCCGUUAUACACGAUUAAGGGAUUAAGUUACUGCAGGGAUAACAGCUUAAUUUUGUCUAAUAGGUCUUAUUGAUGGCAAUGUUUGUGACCUCGAUGUUGGUUUAAGGUAUCUAUAUAGAAGCACAAAAUUUGUAAGAUGGUUUGUUCAACCAUUAAAACCUUAUG
rnacentral:rRNA from 1 species